rnacentral:rRNA from 1 species
UACGGAGGGGGCUAGCGUUGUUCGGAAUUACUGGGCGUAAAGCGCACGUAGGCGGAUUGUUAAGUCAGGGGUGAAAUCCUGGGGCUCAACUCCAGAACUGCCUUUGAUACUGGCAAUCUUGAGUCCGGAAGAGGUGAGUGGAACUCCUAGUGUAGAGGUGGAAUUCGUAGAUAUUAGGAAGAACACCAGUGGCGAAGGCGGCUCACUGGUCCGGUACUGACGCUGAGGUGCGAAAGCGUGGGGAGCAAACAGG